CGUACACUCCUACGGGAGGCAGCAGUGGGGAAUAUUGGACAAUGGGCGCAAGCCUGAUCCAGCUAUGCCGCGUGAGUGAUGAAGGCCCUAGGGUUGUAAAGCUCUUUCACCGGUGAAGAUAAUGACGGUAACCGGAGAAGAAGCCCCGGCUAACUUCGUGCCAGCAGCCGCGGUAAUACGAAGGGGGCUAGCGUUGUUCGGAUUUACUGGGCGUAAAGCGCACGUAGGCGGACUAUUAAGUCAGGGGUGAAAUCCCGGGGCUCAACCCCGGAACUGCCUUUGAUACUGGUAGUCUUGAGUUCGAGAGAGGUGAGUGGAAUUCCGAGUGUAGAGGUGAAAUUCGUAGAUAUUCGGAGGAACACCAGUGGCGAAGGCGGCUCACUGGCUCGAUACUGACGCUGAGGUGCGAAAGCGUGGGGAGCAAACAGGAUUAGAUACCCGAGUAGUCCCAUGA
rnacentral:rRNA from 1 species